rnacentral:rRNA from 1 species
GACCAAGGAGUCUAACAUGUGCGCGAGUCGUAGGGUUACGCUCAAAGCCCGAAGGCGCAAUGAAAGUGAAGGUCGGCCUCGAUUGCUGUUACCUAGGCGGGAUCCGUUCGGGCUUACCGGUCGUUCGCGGCUGAGCCCGGCGGCGCACCGCCGGCCCGUCUCGACCGCAUCGCCGGUGAGGCGGAGCGAGAGCGUACACGUUGGGACCCGAAAGAUGGUGAACUAUGCCCGGGCAGGACGAAGCCAGAGGAAACUCUGGUGGAGGUCCGUAGCGAUUCUGACGUGCAAAUCGAUCGUCGGACCUGGGUAUAGGGGCGAAAGACUAAUCGAACCAUCUAGUAGCUGGUUCCU